rnacentral:rRNA from 1 species
CUGGGAGGACCAUCUCCUAAGGCUAAAUACUCUCUAGUGACCGAUAGUGAACCAGUACCGUGAGGGAAAGGUGAAAAGCACCCCGGAAGGGGAGUGAAAUAGAACCUGAAACCGUGUGCUUACAAGUAGUCAGAGCCCGUUAAUGGGUGAUGGCGUGCCUUUUGUAGAAUGAACCGGCGAGUUACGAUUUGAUGCAAGGUUAAGCAGUAAAUGUGGAGCCGUAGCGAAAGCGAGUCUGAAUAGGGCGUUUAGUAUUUGGUCGUAGACCCGAAACCAGGUGAUCUACCCUUGGUCAGGUUGAAGUUCAGGUAACACUGAAUGGAGGACCGAACCGACUUACGUUGAAAAGUGAGCGGAUGAACUGAGGGUAGCGGAGAAAUUCCAAUCGAACCUGGAGAUAGCUGGUUCUCUCCGAAAUAGCUUUAGGGCUAGCCUCAAGUGAUGAUUAUUGGAGGUAGAGCACUGUUUGGACGAGGGGCCCCUCUCGGGUUACCGAAUUCAGACAAACUCCGAAUGCCAAUUAAUUUAACUUGGGAGUCAGAACAUGGGUGAUAAGGUCCGUGUUCGAAAGGGAAACAGCCCAGACCACCAGCUAAGGUCCCAAAAUAUAUGUUAAGUGGAAAAGGAUGUGGCGUUGCCCAGACAACUAGGAUGUUGGCUUAGAAGCAGCCAUCAUUUAAAGAGUGCGUAAUAGCUCACUAGUCGAGUGACACUGCGCCGAAAAUGUACCGGGGCUAAACAUAUUACCGAAGCUGUGGAUUGUCCUUUGGACAAUGGUAGGAGAGCGUUCUAAGGGCGUUGAAGCAUGAUCGUAAGGACAUGUGGAGCGCUUAGAAGUGAGAAUGCCGGUGUGAGUAGCGAAAGACGGGUGAGAAUCCCGUCCACCGAUUGACUAAGGUUUCCAGAGGAAGGCUCGUCCGCUCUGGGUUAGUCGGGUCCUAAGCUGAGGCCGACAGGCGUAGGCGAUGGAUAACAGGUUGAUAUUCCUGUACCACCUAUAAUCGUUUUAAUCGAUGGGGGGACGCAGUAGAAUAGGCGAAGCGUGCGAUUGGAUUGCACGUCUAAGCAGUAAGGCUGAGUAUUAGGCAAAUCCGGUACUCGUUAAGGCUGAGCUGUGAUGGGGAGAAGACAUUGUGUCUUCGAGUCGUUGAUUUCACACUGCCGAGAAAAGCCUCUAGAUAGAAAAUAGGUGCCCGUACCGCAAACCGACACAGGUAGUCAAGAUGAGAAUUCUAAGGUGAGCGAGCGAACUCUCGUUAAGGAACUCGGCAAAAUGACCCCGUAACUUCGGGAGAAGGGGUGCUCUUUAGGGUUAACGCCCAGAAGAGCCGCAGUGAAUAGGCCCAAGCGACUGUUUAUCAAAAACACAGGUCUCUGCUAAACCGUAAGGUGAUGUAUAGGGGCUGACGCCUGCCCGGUGCUGGAAGGUUAAGAGGAGUGGUUAGCUUCUGCGAAGCUACGAAUCGAAGCCCCAGUAAACGGCGGCCGUAACUAUAACGGUCCUAAGGUAGCGAAAUUCCUUGUCGGGUAAGUUCCGACCCGCACGAAAGGCGUAACGAUUUGGGCACUGUCUCAACGAGAGACUCGGUGAAAUCAUAGUACCUGUGAAGAUGCAGGUUACCCGCGACAGGACGGAAAGACCCCGUGGAGCUUUACUGUAGCCUGAUAUUGAAAUUCGGCACAGCUUGUACAGGAUAGGUAGGAGCCUUUGAAACGUGAGCGCUAGCUUACGUGGAGGCGCUGGUGGGAUACUACCCUAGCUGUGUUGGCUUUCUAACCCGCACCACUUAUCGUGGUGGGAGACAGUGUCAGGCGGGCAGUUUGACUGGGGCGGUCGCCUCCUAAAAGGUAACGGAGGCGCUCAAAGGUUCCCUCAGAAUGGUUGGAAAUCAUUCAUAGAGUGUAAAGGCAUAAGGGAGCUUGACUGCGAGACCUACAAGUCGAGCAGGGUCGAAAGACGGACUUAGUGAUCCGGUGGUUCCGCAUGGAAGGGCCAUCGCUCAACGGAUAAAAGCUACCCCGGGGAUAACAGGCUUAUCUCCCCCAAGAGUUCACAUCGACGGGGAGGUUUGGCACCUCGAUGUCGGCUCAUCGCAUCCUGGGGCUGUAGUCGGUCCCAAGGGUUGGGCUGUUCGCCCAUUAAAGCGGUACGCGAGCUGGGUUCAGAACGUCGUGAGACAGUUCGGUCCCUAUCCGUCGUGGGCGUAGGAAAUUUGAGAGGAGCUGUCCUUAGUACGAGAGGACCGGGAUGGACAUACCUCUGGUGUACCAGUUGUCGUGCCAACGGCAUAGCUGGGUAGCUAUGUGUGGACGGGAUAAGUGCUGAAAGCAUCUAAGCAUGAA